GGGCUGGAGCUCAGUGGGAGAGCACUUGCCUAGCAUGUGUGAGGCCCUGGGUUGGAUCCUCAGCACCACA
rnacentral:tRNA from 1 species